CGAAUGUCCCGAGCGUUAUCCGGAUUUAUUGGGCGUAAAGCGAGCGCAGACGGUUUAUUAAGUCUGAUGUGAAAUCCCGAGGCCCAACCUCGGAACUGCAUUGGAAACUGAUUUACUUGAGUUCGAUAGAGGCAAGUGGAACUCCAUGUGUAGCGGUGAAAUGCGUAGAUAUGUGGAAGAACACCAGUGGCGAAAG
rnacentral:rRNA from 1 species